rnacentral:sRNA from 1 species
AAGUAGUUGAUUUUAAAUUUUAUUAACUCUUACUAUUAUCUGAAUAGGGGCUAGGAGGAGGGAGGAGGCGAAGCAUGGCAGGCACACUGCACUUUGUAAGGUGCCUCAAAUCUUAUGCCAUCAUGGGGUAAAAACACCUUUAUCCAAUUAAGCACUCAAGGGCGAGGGGCUGGUAGACGCUCGCUUCAAUACACGAGCGUCCUAUUCCUGUGCUGCACUGCUUACUCCUCUGUAAGGUGACUGUGGGUGACCACCUCCCCAUCACUUAAAACGCUGAGCAUGAGACUCCUCUCAAGUGGAGUAGCGGUGAUCAUUCUGAAAAGAUAGCAUGAGGGUCACAGAGACCUUCAGGCCCUGAAAGGGCCGCUACCCAAAGGGAGGGCACUUCUGAAAAGCUGGUCUGCUGAGUACAUAUAAUUCUGGUCACCAAGGUUUGAGCUCUAAAAAGUGUCCUCAUCUUUACAAAGUGUCUCAAGUCUAGGGGUGGCAAACAGAAUGUUUGGUGGGACUAAGGAUUAUCUCUGCUAAUUGAAAAAACACAGAACAGGACAUCACAUUUAGCUAUAGAUUUACUUUAUACCAGAAACACAAAAAGUCUACCUAAGACGUUAACACCAUGUGAAUACGUACAAACACACACCACACUUCAUACACAACACACACAGGGGGCCACAGCAUGGCAUUUGCUACCGAUUAGAAAUGUUAUACGUGUACCUGCUUAACAGAGGAGAAAAACACCAUCAAACAUCUUUAGAAUUUUUUCUCACAAAGCCGAGCUUGUUAACAAACCAGUAGUGACUGUGAUGCAUAUCUUUCUCAAGUAUGAUGCAGAGAAUUUUAUUUUGCUUAAAUAUUAGCAGUAUAUUCUUUUCAAUAGAUAGUAAUAAUACAGAAAAAUUAAAAACUGACUUCUUUAGUGAAGUAUAAAAUAUUUGAUAUUUACAAUUUGGAGAAUAGUGCUUUUUCUUUCUUUUAAAGAAUAAUGAGUUAUUUGAAUUAGAAAUUGUUACCUAAAUAGCUGGAAGGUGUGAGGAGACCUCAUUUUACUUGUAAAUGAUUCAUGGGCUAUAAGCACUGGCUUGGUAUUUCCAUAUUUCUGUUUGGAAAGGAGUCAUUUCCACGACUCCACAGCCACAGAUAAAUGGGGCAGCAUUGUGCACGACUGGCAAUAAGCUAUAAUUCUGUUGCUGUCACAAUUUAUGUGGAAACACAGGGUCUCCAAACAGCUGAACUCGCAAAUACCUUGUUUAUGAUGGUUUUGAUGACUCUCUAUUGGGCUUGAGUCAGAAUAAAUUUCAUAAAUGGCUGUGCCUAACUUUCCGCUUUUCUGAUAAACACCCUGUUCUGUCUCUGUCAAACUCGCCAGGUUGCAGAGACAGCCAAGCGUAAAGCUGCUACAGAACUCCAAAGGUGAUAGAGAGCCACAUUCUAGGGCCCAGGAGUCCCCUCUGUACACAUCCCCGCUGUGUGUUUCUACUGAUGGAGACUCCAAAAGUCCAUGGACAGCUGGCUUGACCUAGUGAGGAGCCUGCUCAGCUCAGCUAGUCCAGUUCAUCACAGGGCAAUAUAAUGUAUCCCAGAUGAACAUUCCAGAAACUAAAAGUCCUCUUUAAGAAGAACUCCAGGCUUCUCAUCAUGCUAAGGAUCACAAACAGAAAACCUCAGCUUGAGAAAACAGACUUCCUACUGGAGGGUGCAGGAUUGGAGCAGAAAAAUCCUGAAAGGAGGUCUCAAGAAAAGAAAUACAUGGUAGACUUUGAUGGAAGAACCUGGAACUGAUCAGGGGACCAGGAUGUUGCUGCUCUACUGCCAGGAAGUGUGGAUGACAGAGUGGAGCCACAAAACUGGUGACCAUAAAUAUUAAAAAACAAAUCAAAACACCCCCCAAACAACACCAGGUAAGUCACAUGAUAUUAUGGCUAGAUGCCAAGUCCUCUAUAACUUCUCAUAGUGGAACUAUACAUCUACCCGUGUCAUUGAUGGGUAGUUUCUACAUCCUGUCUGUCUGUGAUGGCUAAUACGGUCUACCACUGUAGAUCUGGGUCUGGGAGGGAAUUUCUAGGCAGGGUUAAGAGGUGUGGGAUAGGGAUGCCCUCCCCCAGAAUGGGCAGCUGACAUGGAGGCCUGAGGGAAAAGCAAUGGAGCUGUUGCUUGCUUGAGUGCCUUUGCUCCUUGUUGGUGAGUGCAUGGAGCGCAUCUACCUAGUGGCUGUUACUGCAGUCACCCUUCGAUGACAUUGGAGUCCAUCUUCUUUGGCUUCAACCAGUCACUCUCCAGGAACCCUCUGGGCCUUCCUUGACAGGCUGGGACUGAGGAGGUGUCUGAGACUUUGUCCUCUUUAGUAUGCAAAGAGCUAUUUAUGAACUACCCCCUCCCACCAUAAUGUAAGCUAAUAUAAUAAGUCGCCCUUUGCAACAUACACUUCUGUUCUUCCAGAGAACCCAGCACAUAUGCCGUGUCACUCAUUGCCGUACACAUUGGAGGAGAUGGCUCCUUGGGGGAGACUUCAGUCUACCUCCUCUGAAUGCAGGGAUAGUUGCCAGAACUGUUCACAAAUGAUGCCUGGGUAUGGAGGUUAUCUAAUAAACUGAUGGCUUCUUUAGUGUUCACUGUCCUCGGACUGUGGUGAUUAGCUACUAAAACAAUUCAGAUUUCAGACCCCACAGAGGGAGGACUAACACAGCCAAUGAGAAUUUGAAAGGCAGAAAAAUUUUCCCUUUUUUUAAAAAAAAAAUUGCAAGCAACAUAAUUAAAGGCAUGUAAUUCAAGAAUCUGAUACGUCCAGUGAGGCUAGUCAAAGAUGUUUACAUGUCAAUAUAUGUCUGUGGUCACCUCUACCAUGACUGUAGCUGAGUAGGUCAGCUUCCCUAAAUCGGUGGAAAAAAAUGCAGGAAUCUGGAGUCACACAGGGAAAAAUCUAUUAGAGCUCCUAUGGGGGAAACAAGACCUUGUACUAAGUGUUACCAGCACUUAGUACAACACCAGUGUGGUGUGUGUGUGUGUGUGUGUGUGUGUGUGUAAGUGCUAGGGAGUGUCAGGAUGAAUACCAAAUAUCUUGCUCAUGGUUCAGACCAAAGUGUAAAGCAAUGCAAGGACUUCUUCUUAAUAAAAUAAGGUAGGCAUGGGUGGUUUGAAAAACAAUGCUGUGAUACAGGUCAGAAAACAGAAGCAACAGAAUUUUCCAGAAGAAAAAAAAAUAUUAGUAGCAAAGGAAAAACAAAAAACAAAAACAAUGGAUUUUAGACAUAAAAUGUCCUCUGCAAAUAUUUCAUAACUUUUUAAAACAUAGAGAAGGCAGUGACAGAUAUUUUGAAAAAGAAGUUUUAACUCAUUUUCUCUAUCCUUUUGUUUAGGGCCCUGAAACAAACAAACAGAAAACCAAAACAGUAUUGUCUUAGUUGUAACUUGUACUGGUGGGUCAGGCUGAUGUUGAAGUCUCAUCUAGAGGGAGAUUUUAAAAUUACCUCUGGGAUCUAUUGCAAUGUCUGCAGAGCUUUGACAGAAAGGACUGGAAGCUUUAAUGUCCCAUGCUUGUAGUUCCUAGUCUAAACCAAUCCAAAUCGAGUUUGCCUAAAGCUGACUUGGUGAGCAAUGCAAGUUGACUGGUCACCCUCUAGGUCCCUGAGAUCAAGAGGUCUGCCCUGGGCUUAGAACCAGAUGGGUUUUCAUCUCUGCUGGUGAGCAGGAGCCUGGAUCUCUCCUCCCCCCACCAAUGACUACUUUCUACUGAACUCAAUGGGGUGCUGAACCUUCUGCCAAAGCGAGGACAGGAAAGGGGGUGGUGCUACCAAGCAGCUGCAGCAAAUUUGUGGAGUUUGCUCCCUGGUGGGGUAACUUGGGGGUGGAAGGUGGGUGGGCCACCUGGAAUCGGCAAUGAGCAGGAGACUGUCUACAGUUCAAGCUGUCUCCCCCAACCUCGGAGUGUUGGAUAAAUAACUCCAUUAUGGAUUGCACAUGUCCAAGAACAAGAUCAAACUACCCAAAUCAUCCCAUCAUGGAUUAAUUGCAGCAUACGCAGUAACGCGUACUCCCAAUGUCUCUGGAUUUCUCAGGGUUGGGGGAAGAGGUACAAACCUACUCUUAACUGCCUCGUAUUCUCAUCUAUUCUACAUAACUAUUCUUGACUUCACACAGAUCCUUCCUUGCUAUUUUUAUUUCCUCCUGUCUCCCACCAGUCUCUCAACUGAAGGGAGAGGGAAGUGCUGCUGAAGGGAACUAACUACCCAGAAGCCCCUGCUGGCUGCUCAGGCACACUUAGACAUUUCUCAUCACCUCUCAUAACUCCGACCCCAAACUUAAGAAGCUAGUACUGUUAUUGUUUCCGUUUUAUGAACCAGAGAACAGAGACUCACAGUUAAGGAACUCGGCCAGCAUACAUGGACUCUGGCCUGGGUUGUUCUUAACUUGCUCUUGAUCUUCAAAGCAUGAACCGGAGACAUAGUCUGGAGGUGCGGUUUAUACACCUAAUCUGCUCCCAUAGCAGAGUGCUUCUCAUGAUGACAAGGCCAGCAUAAGACAGUGCUAAGCUGAGAGUUACCGUAAAGAGACAUGGCUUUGUAGAUCAGAAAACAUUGACUUUAACCCAUGCUUAACCAAGCAAAAAUGGGGCAGACACUAGAGUUUGAGUCUUGCUCCUUAGACCUCCAGCAGUCUCUUGGCUUCUCUGCAUUAGGUUCUUUGUGAAAUGGGGUUGCCCAAUACUGCUGAAGUAUAUCCAGCUUCUAGACCGUGACUGGGCAUUUAUAAAACAUAAAGCGUGAUUGCAAUGUGCUCGCGACACAGAAAUACUUGUCACUAAUGAACUGACUGAGGCAGCUGAAAUACAAGCUGUCAUUUUUUUUUUACCACUGAAAACAAAAGCAUGUGAAGCCUGGAUAUAAAGCCUUUUAAUAAGUUGGAAAUUACUUAUGACACAGCAGUGUUUAAACGAGGACUGGCAAGAUGGCGGCUGGGCCUCACUCUCUUGUCACAAGGGAUGACACAUAAGUCAUUCUAGAAGGAACAUUCUGUAGAGGGAGACUCUCUGGGCAGAAGGCCUGGGAUUGUGGACCCUUGGGAUUCUAUCUGUAGCCUUCAAAGCAUUUAUGAGCACCUGGAAAUUGUGUACAGCAUGUCUUAGGUGAGCUAAUCUUUUUUCUCCUGGGAAGAGAGACAAUGACUUUCAUCAAAAGCAAUAUAAUGUAAUGGUUAAGAAGCAGUAUAAUGUGACAAUGUAACAGUUAAGUUCUGAAUCAGAAAUCAGUCUGUCUAGGUAUAAGUCCCAGCAUCUUCAUUUGUGACAUGCUGGGUGAGUCACUUCCUUGGUGCCUCAGGCUUUCAUCUGCAAAGUGGGGCUAGUCACAGUGCAGUGUCCAUGAGGCUGCUGUGAAAAGUAACGAGGCGAUGUGUUUGAAGCGUCUGACAUAAUCAACAUUCAAAAGCUCUCGGCCACCAGUGCCACCAUCACACAUUCUUAAGCUGGUCCCUAACUUUAAGGGAGGAUUUAUAGCUACUGCCACAAGACACUGUACUGUUCUGGUUAAUAGUAUCUGUCAUUUUAUAAGGUUCACACUGGGACCCUACUUAAAAGGCCCUAAGCACUUUAAAUGCCUUUAAAAAAGUCCUUACAAGAACUUAGGAAGUAUGGAGUAUUUCUAAUCUAACUUUAGCCCCAGUUAAUGAAUAGCUGAAGCUAUAGAGUUAAGUGACUUGUCCAAGGUCACAUGGGCGAGCAAGGUCUGGAUGAGUCACAGUGUGAAUUUAGCAUUGACUCAAUCUAGAGAGAAAUCCCUGAACUGCUGCAGGACUUAAGGUGUAUAAAAACACACCUUCUCAAGGCAAGCCUUCGAUGUCUUGGCUUACUGAAGACCAGAGGUAAAAGUAGCAACACAGGGGUUCCAUGGAAGCCCCAGGUCUCCCAGUGUCUACGGAAUGUGACUACAGUGACUUCCUGUGUGUUCCCGGGGGAAAGAGAUGCCCACACCAGAGACGCUGGGAAGAGGGAGGGAGACAGACAGAUCACAGCUACAGAAAACCAAAUGGAAGAAAGAUGGGUUCGGGGCAUAGGGGAAUGUCUGCGUCUACUGAAAGCGACUCUGGUUGCAUGCUACUUUCUGGUGAUUACUUCAGGCAGUGUUGUCAAGAAGGUUGGGCAGCAUUGUCUGCUCAGUAUUUUUGAUAUAAACUCAAUGGAAACUGCUGACCAACUGUUGAAAGAGUGAGGAAGUUUCUCUUCCAGGUAGCUGCUGGUCUUCAGUGCUAUUUCCUGAAGGAUCAUCCUUGGAAUGACACGGCUUCUAGAAUUACUGUAAGGGGAAGUUAUGAGCAUGUUUCCCCAGUUUUAUGCUUAGGAUAAUUAAACAUUGAUCUUGGGUUUAAAUGAUUUUUGAGGACUUGGGUUACCUAAGUAUCAGUAUUAAUGAUAUUCUUAAAAAUGUGCUCUAGGCUCUGCAGGCAGUUCUAACAACUUUGAGAUAGUCUCUGAAUGUCAUGUGCAGUCCAAGUCUGCAUUGGCCAUCAACUCUGGCAGCCCUCUGAGCAGCCCCAUGAGGUAGUAUGGGAAUCGUCAGUGUUUUCAGAUGAAGAAACCGAAGGCAGAGUUUGGAAUCUGCCAAGCUUCCCAGCCUGUGGGUGACUCAUUUGAACAAUUGCGACAUUACUGCAUUAAGCAUCCAUUUGCCUCCAGUUACCGUAAAGAAAACGACCUUUGGCAAAAUUCAGUUGUAUACUGAAUUCUGUUCUUAAAGUUCAGUGUUAUAUUUUUAAGAACAAAGCUGUCUCUUGACCACUGUCAUGGACCUGUUCGUCUGCUGUGAGUUUGCAGAGGGACUUACAUGUUUCUGGGAAGAUCAGAAAUGACACUUUAGCUGAUGCUUGGAAAGGUGUUUAUUGCUCCCAUUUCAGAGACCGAGGGCUGGAGUCUCAGACAGAUUUAAGCUCAAACAGCAGAGCCUGCAAGCUGAACUCAGUUGGGCCACCUUUCUCCUCACACCUCAGUUCUCUUGGUGGCAAGUGCAUUUUCUAUGUCUUAUUUAUCCAGAAUAGAGAAAUUGGACUUAAAAGCUCCUCUAGAUGUUAAGUCAGAUUUGUUGAAGAAGGAAAGUUACUGAAAAUGCCUUCUACACAUGUCAGGGCAUGAGGACACAGUGUGCUCUCAGAGCAGGACUGGAAAUGUGGGAGCAGGAUGGGGUUCAAAAAAGAGAGAGGGAGGAAAAAAAACCAACCAACAAAAACAACACAGUAUAGUGACAGAAAAGCACCAAUGACAACCAGGUACUGCUACCAGGAUCUAGGUGCCCCAGUUGUUUAGCCAUUAUCACACGUCUCUGUGUUCCUCAUCCCACUAAGGGCAGUGAACAGAUUGCCAAAUGAGAUUUUUCCAUGACAGAGGUUGUGAUGGUUUGGAUAUGCUUGGUCCAGGAAGUGGCACUAAUAGAUGUGGCCUUGUUGAAGUAGGUGUGGCUUUGUGGGAGGAAGUGUGUCAUUGUGGGGGUGGACUUUAAGACACUCCUGAGGACAUGGGAGCCAGUCGUUUACUAGCAACCUUCAGGUGAAGAUGUAAAACUCUCAGCUCCCCUGUACCCUGCCUGCCUGGGUGAUGCCAUGGCCGUGCCUUGAUGAUAAUGGACUCAACCUUUGAAUCUAUAAGCCAGGCCUCAAUUAAAUGUUGCCCUUAUAAGAGCUGCCUUGAUCAUGGUGCCUGUUCACAGCAGUGAAAUCCUAAGAUAGAAGUUUAUGAAAAUCAGCAACAAAAUCACCCCAGGUCUGAAUUAUGACCUUGACUUUAUAGAUCUAUUCCAGGGUGCCUCUAAAGAGAUAUAGGAAGACCAGAGGGGCCAGACCUCUCAAAUGCCUUCUUCCUGUUAUAUUGUAGCUGCUCCCUAGUGACCUACAUUCUCAAGCCAAGUAUUUAAAAAGAAGUAUUUCCAGAAGGUAUAUGGAAGCAAAAGGAUAAGGUAUCAUGUAAUUAUUCUCACCUAUCUCCUUCUCACAGGGUUUUUAGGGAAGCUGAAUGUCCUCUAAAUACGGCUCCAGAUUUUAUGAUUUCUAACACUAACUAGUUUGAAUAUAAAGGAGUUAAAGGAAGUACAUGGCCGCAUGAGGGCAUGGAUGGGUGACUCAUUGGCUGAACAAAGGGGUAUAAAGGGACAGAGCAGUGACACAAGUGACACAUCAUCCCACACUGCCCUCUCUUUGCCUUGCUCCCAUUCACUUGUGUUGAGUCAUAAGCAUUUAUUGGCUCGCAAUGACUCAUAAAAUUCCAUGUUAAAUGCGAGAGAUUUGGGAUGUCAUGCAUAGUCCCCUGAAGGAGGGUUGCUUGCGCCAACUUGGAGGUAGUCAGAUGUCUUCAGCUGUGCAUACCCACACUCCAGAGAGCUACAUUGCUCAAGGUCAUGUCUUACAAUGGCUCCUAGAGUACUGGCUGAUAUGGGGGUAUAUGGUUCUUCUCAGCCAAACAUAACACAGAGGCAUCAUUCAGGCUGCUGCUGGAUGCACAAAAGCAUUCAUCUCUCUCUGCCCACAGCAUGCCAUAAGUGUUAAACUCAAGGUCUCUGCCAGUAAACAUCCUGUACACUUAACUUGGAAUUAGACCUAGGAGGCUCUGCAGAAAGCCAGGUGGCAAAAGGACAGACAUUAUCUUUGCAUGAUCAUAACCAAGGAUAAAAAUCAUAAGACAUAUUCAACAAUGAAUUACUCUGCUCUAAGAAGUAGCAGACCUUUGGACAGGAAUAAUGGUGCACACUUAAUACCAGCAGCCAGGAGGCAGGGCUUUGUGAAUUCGAGGCCAGCUUGAUCUCCAUA